UACGUAGGGGGGCGAGCGUUGUCCGGAUUUAUUGGGCGUAAAGAGCGUGUAGGCGGCCAGGUAGGUCUGCUGUGAAAACUCGAGGCUCAACCUCGAGACGUCGGCGGAAACCAUCUGGCUAGAGUCCGGAAGAGGAGAGUGGAAUUCCUGGUGUAGCGGUGAAAUGCGUAGAUAUCUGGGAGGAACACCGGUGGCGAAGGCGGCAUUCUGGACCGAUAUUGACGCUGAGGAGCGAAAGCCAGGGGAGCAAACGGG
rnacentral:rRNA from 1 species